GUGGGUGUAGCUCAGUUGGUAAGAGUGCCGGGUUGUGGCCCCGGAGGUCGAGGGUUCAAGUCCCUUCACUCACCCCA
rnacentral:tRNA from 1 species